CGAACUAUCCAGACCUUAGUGGACAUGUUGCGUUUAUUCGUUCUACAGUUUUAGUAUGAUUAUGACUAACACCUAUCCCUGUUAGAGUUACGUGUAACCACAGUUACAAUUUUCAAUUUUGGGUAUGGCACUGUUUGAGAUGUUGUAUGGAGACUUUAUGUACUGUACAUAAUUGAUAGAGGUGUAUUACAAAUAGGUAUUUGAAUAAUUGAGACUACAAUUUACGAAAUUGUGUGCUAUUUGCAUUGUCGCCCGAGAGGGUAGUAUGUGAGCUCGGUCGAGGUGCUAAUCAGAUGAUUUAUAUGUAUUUCCCAAUGAGGGGCAAGAUGGUAAUAUUGCAUCCUUAAAAAUUUGUUGCUUGCUUAUUGGGACAACAAUGAGUUGUCAAUAUCGCAGACUGCAGACUAUAAUAUCGAUAACUUAUUUCUUGUGUUUGUUAAGCAAGUAGACAAGUAAGUCCUUUUACAUUAGCAUUUUUAGUUAUUUAUUUAUUGUUUGGGCUUGACCCAAAGAUACUACACUUGUUCUCAUAUUACGUGACCCUACGAGUGUGUAGGUGAAAAAUAUUCUAUGUUCAGUUUUAAUUUCGAUACCAUUAUUUUAACUUUACGUUAUUAUACAUAUGUAUUUUGAUGUGAUGUUAUUAUACACAGAUAAAUAUUUUCGACUUUAUGUUUUUAUAAAAGUAUUAUAUUAUAGUAUUGUACUAAAGGAGAAUGAAAGUAUGAGUUCGGAGCCAUGAAAGAGGAAUCAUUGCACUCCGAUCGCGACAGAAUGACAUUCUCUUUCAUGCAACCGCUCUAAUUUGAUAUCUUCUUUACAUAUUUAUUUUUUUGCUAUCUUUUCACAAUUUUUGCAUAACAGAUGAC
rnacentral:lncRNA from 1 species